GAUUGUGACCCUCAUGCCUACGUAUUCUCAUAGUGUAAUGAGAAAGUCAGAGCCUCAUACUUCGUGGAACCAGAGAGAGAAAGGGGGAAAAGAAAUAAAACUACUCGCCAAGGACUCAGAUCCUCAUUCCUACGUAUCCUUAUAGUGAAAUAAGGAAGUCAAAAAUUCGUAGUUCGGAGGAGUAAGACUGAAAGAAGGAAAUAUAUUGGGGGUGGUGUUUAAACCGGAAAGGACUAAAAACUGACUGAACGGUAUUUAAA
rnacentral:lncRNA from 1 species